AAUCAACGCUGGCGGCGUGCCUCAGACAUGCAAGUCGAACGAUUAAGACUUCCUUCGGGAAGUGCGUAAAGUGGCGCACGGGUGAGUAACACGUAAGUAAUCUACCUUCGAGUGGGGAAUAACGUUCGGAAACGAACGCUAAUACCGCAUAAUGCAGCGGCAUCGCAAGAUGACAGUUGUUAAAGGAAUUUAUUUCGCUUGAAGAGGAGCUUGCGGCAGAUUAGCUAGUUGGUAAGGUAACGGCUUACCAAGGCUACGAUCUGUAUCCGGUCUAAGAGGACGGUCGGACACACUGACACUGAAUAACGGGUCAGACUCCUACGGGAGGCAGCAGUCGGGAAUUUUGGGCAAUGGGCGAAAGCCUGACCCAGCAACGCCGCGUGAAGGAUGAAGUAUUUCGGUAUGUAAACUUCGAAAGAAUGGGAAGAAUAAAUGACGGUACCAUUUAUAAGCUCCGGCUAACUACGUGCCAGCAGCCGCGGUAAU
rnacentral:rRNA from 1 species